rfam:Asian citrus Psyllid, Diaphorina citri - Florida Strain, whole genome shotgun sequence.
GCUCCCAUGGCGUAGUGGUCACUGCGCUCGCCUUGCACGCGGGAGACCCGGGUGCGAUUCCCGGCUGGGUCA